rnacentral:rRNA from 1 species
AGCGAACGCUGGCGGCGUACUUAACACAUGCAAGUCGAACGAGGAUCUUCAGUGUAGCAAUACAUCGGAGGUCCUAGUGGCGCACGGGUGAGUAACACGUGGGUGACCUGCCCUUGAGCUCGGGAUACCCCCUCGGAAAGGGGGGCUAAUACCGGAUACGUUCCUCGGUCGAAAGACGUGGGGAGGAAAGGUGGCGCAAGCUGCCGCUCUUGGAGGGGCUCGCGGCCUAUCAGCUAGUUGGCGGGGUAACGGCCCACCAAGGCUAUGACGGGUAGCUGGUCUGAGAGGACGACCAGCCACACGGGGACUGAGACACGGCCCCGACUCCUACGGGAGGCAGCAGUGGGGAAUUUUCCGCAAUGGGCGAAAGCCUGACGGAGUGACGCCGCGUGUGGG